CCUCACUGUGUGACUCACUGUAGAUUGAUGCACAUUUUUAUCUUCACCAACAACCCACUUGAAACCCUGGAUCACCAAUGUACUAUAGGAAAAUUUACAUUUUUUCCUUCCAAAAUAAAGCGCCACUUCUCAUUUCAUCUGUAUCACCUAGGAAAGCGUCUGCCAAGUAUCUCACAUGGUAUUUCUCAAAUCUAUAGAGGGCACAAUAUGCAUAAGCAUCACCAUUUCUUCAAUUUUUGUAAAUCUUAGGAGCAUGUACUUGCAUAAUUAAAGCAAUUUUUAUGACUAAAAACUUAAUUAAACUAUGUAC
rnacentral:lncRNA from 1 species